ACGGGGUGCAGCAGGCGCGAAAACUUCACACUGCAGGAAACUGUGAUGAGGGAACUCCAAGUGACUGCACAUUGUGUAGCCUUUUCUUUACUAUUAAUCGGUAUUGGAAUAAGGGCUGGGAAAGACCGGUGCCAGCCGCCGCGGUAAUACCGGCAGCUCAAGUGGUCGUCGCUUUUAUUGGGCCUAAAACGUCCGUAGCCUGUUUGGUAAAUCUGUGGGUAAAUCAACCAGCUUAACUGGUUGAAUUCUGCAGAGACUGCCAGACUAGGGACCGGGAGAGGUGUGGGGUACUCUAGGGGUAGGGGUAAAAUCCUGUCAUCCUUAGAGGACCACCAGUUGCGAAGGCGCCACACUGGAACGGAUCCGACGGUCAGGGACGAAGCCUAGGGGCACGAACCGGAUUAGAUACCCGGGUAGUCCUAGGUGUAAACGCUGUGAACUUGGUGUCGGGGAUCCGCAAUGGGUCCUCGGUGCCGGAGUGAAGAUGUUAAGUUCACUGCCUGGGGAGUACGGUCGCAAGGCUGAAACUUAAAGGAAUUGGCGGGGGAGCACUGCAACGGGAGGAGCGUGCGGUUUAAUUGGAUUCAACGCCGGAAAACUCACCAGGGCCGACUGUUAUAUGAAGACCAGCGUAAUGAGCUUGUCGGAUUUUCAGAGAGGUGGUGCAUGGCCGUCGUCAGUUCGUACUGUAAAGCGUUCUGUUAAGUCAGAUAACGAACGAGACCCUCAUCUCUAUUUGCUACCCGUCUCUCCGGAGGCGGCGCACUAUAGGGAGACCGCUGGUGUUAAACCAGAGGAAGGCGAGGGCAACGACAGGUCAGUAUGCCCCGAAUGUCCUGGGCUACACGCGCGCUACAAAGGACGGGACAAUGGGAAGCCAGGCCGAGAGGCCGAGCUACCCCGAAACCCGUUCAUAGUUCGGAUCGUGGGCUGUAACUCGCCCACGUGAAGCUGGAUUCCGUAGUAAUCGUGUUUCAAUAUAGCACGGUGAAUAUGCCCCUGCUCCUUGCACACACCGCCCGUCAAACCAUCUUAGUUGGGGGUGGGUGAGGCUGCGCUUACUUCGGUAUGGCGUAUUCGAGCCUGCCUUCGACAAGGAGGGUUAAGUCGUAACAAGGUAUCUGUAGGUGAACCUGCAGAAU
rnacentral:rRNA from 1 species